UGGAGCGAGCGGGGAAAGACCACCCCGGGGGUAUGUAUGGGUAGGAAGGCGAAGAUGCCGCCCCAGGAAGUGAGGAAAGCUGGUGAGAUUGAGGCGCCUUCCAGGACGUAUGCCUAUUUACUGUCUCGAGCUCAUUGAGCUCCUGGCAGGUAGAGCUUCGAGGACCCGGAGAAACGUAAAGCCCAUCUUUUUAUUCCAGCUUUGCUGUGGCAGCCUGCUACAUACAGAUGUAACCUGAGAGGACCUUGCUUCAGCUGUACUUGAUAUCUCAGGGCUUCUCUGUCACUGCAGUCUGGACCCCUGCAAGAAGCCACAGCCCAUUCUGACAUAAACCUGGAAGUACAAAGGAAUUAACACGUCCUUGGACAACCUCUAACCAAAACGAACAGAAGCUGGUGGAGAAAUGUUCCACUCUUCCGUGGGCAGUUACAAGGUACAUUUUGUACAGCACCUAAGAUGACAGAACCCUGGCUGCCCGUGGUAGUGUCCAACUUAAUCAGCUCAGUAAUCCACCCUUGGAUUGCCUUUUUCUUUCCUGCCUUGACUGUUUGACUCUUACCAGUCCUCCAGUCCUGUUCCUUGGGAUUCAUUCCCCCAAAUAAACUACCUAAUACAAA